rnacentral:rRNA from 1 species
AUUGAACGCUGGCGGCAGGCCUAACACAUGCAAGUCGAGCGGAUGAAGGGAGCUUGCUCCUGGAUUCAGCGGCGGACGGGUGAGUAAUGCCUAGGAAUCUGCCUGGUAGUGGGGGAUAACGUCCGGAAACGGGCGCUAAUACCGCAUACGUCCUGAGGGAGAAAGUGGGGGAUCUUCGGACCUCACGCUAUCAGAUGAGCCUAGGUCGGAUUAGCUAGUUGGUGGGGUAAAGGCCUACCAAGGCGACGAUCCGUAACUGGUCUGAGAGGAUGAUCAGUCACACUGGAACUGAGACACGGUCCAGACUCCUACGGGAGGCAGAAGUGGGGAAUAUUGGACAAUGGGCGAAGGCCUGAUCAAGCCAGGCCGCGUGUGUGAAGAAGGUCUUCGGAUUGUAAAGAACUUUAAGUGGGGAGGAAGGGCAGUAAGUUAAUACCUUGCUGUUUUGACGUUACAAAAAGAAUAAGAACCGGCUAACUUCGUG